UACGGGGGAGCAAGCGUUGUUCGGAUUUACUGGGCGUAAAGGGCGCGUAGGCGGUCGUGACAAGUCACUUGUGAAAUCUCCGGGCUUAACUCGGAACGGUCAAGUGAUACUGUCGGACUAGAGUACAGAAGGGGCAACUGGAAUUCUCGGUGUAGCGGUGAAAUGCGUAGAUAUCGAGAGGAACACCCGUGGCGGAAGGCGGCUCUCUGGACGGUACUGACGCUGAGACGCGAAAGCGUGGGGAGCGAACAGG
rnacentral:rRNA from 1 species